rfam:Schistosoma mattheei strain Denwood, Zambia genome assembly, scaffold: SMTD_contig0000285
AGCCCUCUGCAUCCGCGCUGAGAUUUCGCCAAAUACCAGACCACAAGGGCUGAUGAGACUUCCAAGAUAAGUGAAGUG